UAUGUAUAUUUAGUAUGUUCUGUAUAAUAAUUAUUAUUGUUCUGUAUAAUAUGUAUAUCUAUUUAUUAUUCUGUAUAAAGUUAUAAUUUGUAGUAUGGUAACGGAACACAUUGAAUUCUGUGUCUGCUGAAGUGUUCACGGAUAGUGAGAGUAGAGUGCGGCUGCUCUCACUGUCUGUGAUCAUGGGAAGCUAAUCAGAUUUUAGUUUGUUUGGUUAUCUAUUGUACAAUAUUUUGUACAAUAUUUUUAUAAUAUGUAUAAUAUUUAUAAUGUAUAAUUGUUAUGUAUAAUUAUUAUGUAUAAUAUGUUUGGCUUAAAUAUGGGAAAGGCAACUUUAACUCUGUACUUUGUACACUGGUUGCAUUUAGAGCACCAGGUUGUCUAGUUUCUUACACUAAUUUUGUUUUCUGUAUAUAGAUUUUUUUUUAUAUACAGAUGUUCAAGCACUGGACAAAAUGUUUACAUGAAAAAUUUCUCCGUUACAUCAGCCCAGGUGUUUUAACAGCUGGAGUACGUGUGUGUUUUGUGCAACUCUGCUGCUCUCACAACUCGUGUACCCAUGGAAAGGGAUUGUCCUUGGAGUUCCUGUUUGAACUAUAAACCUGGCUAUUUAAUAAAAUGCUAAAAAAGUGUUUGAUUAUCUGUUCUAUUAAUAAAGCUGUGACUUAUCUUA